rnacentral:rRNA from 1 species
AGUGAACGCUGGCGGCGUGCCUAAUACAUGCAAGUCGAACGGAGAUUAAGUAGCUUGCUAUUUAAUCUUAGUGGCGCACGGGUGAGUAAUAUAUAGCUAACUUGCCCAUUACUAAGGGACAACAGUUGGAAACGACUGCUAAUACCUUAUACUCCGUAUCUAUAUAAGUAGAUACGGGAAAGUUUUUCGGUAAUGGAUAGGGCUAUAUCGUAUCAGCUAGUUGGUAAGGUAAUGGCUUACCAAGGCUAUGACGCGUAACUGGUCUGAGAGGAUGAUCAGUCACACUGGAACUGAGACACGGUCCAGACUCCUACGGGAGACAGCAGUAGGGAAUAUUGCUCAAUGGGGGAAACCCUGAAGCAGCAACGCCGCGUAGAGGAUGACACUUUUCGGAGCGUAAACUCCUUUUCUUGGGAAAGAAUUAUGACGGUACCCAAGGAAUAAGCACCGGCUAACUCCGUG